GUCAGUGGUGAAGCCAGGACUAUUAGCAUUCAUCAGACAUGCUGUUUGUCUGUUUGCUAACAUUCUUCAUUCAAGACUUGUUAACUACCAGACAAGCUUAACACGCUUCUCUUUUUCCCCUCCCCUCCUCUCUCCCUCCGUGUCUCUCUCUCUCCCUCUCUCCCCCCCCCUUCCUUCCCUCCCUCCCUCCCUCCCCCCCCCCCCCCCUCACUUCUCCCUUCCCUUCCCUUCCUUCCCUCCCUUUCAUGCCACCCCUCGCAGCCGCCCAUUGUUGCUGCCGGGCGCUGGCAGCCGGGGGCAGUUGUGGCAGGGAGCGGGCGGAGGAGAAGCCGGCGCCCGUUGCUAGGAGACUGCAGAGCUGCAAGGUGAACACCACCACCACAUCGGCGGCUCCCCGAGGCUGGCUUCUCGCCCUGCGCAGGUGUAUCAGUCUGGAUCUAGUCUCCCUGUAAGGAGUGUGAAACUUACAGCAGAAGAAUUACUGAAAAAGCUCUUCCUCAUCUGAACCAUCAUUUAAAACACAGGAUGAAAGUACCUGAAUAUGUUUUCUAUCAUAUUGUCUGCAGGGUUCCCAGAAGAUUCUUCUGAAACUUGGGCGUAUCUGUCUCAGGCUGCCCUUAAAAAGACGUAGUAGUAAUCUGGCAAAAUGAACUGAAGCCACACAAAGAGAAGACAUUCGAGACUAAUCUGCAAGGUGUUCAGAUUCACUGAUAACAUGCAAACCAGAGUCUGCUUACCAUUGUCUGUUCCAGAUAUGAUGUCAAAGCAAACAAAGAAGACUUAAAAGUAGCAUGACUUAAAAAAGAAGU